AACUGUCCUGCAGUGAAGUUGUAACACUUUCAUGCUGCCUCCAGCAGUGAGAAUGCCUCUUUAGAGAAUUUCCAUUGGAAUUGCAUUAAACCUAGAAAUAAAUUUGGAAGUAAACGACAGCUUUUCUGUAUUCAAACUUCACCUCCAGAACGAUUGUGUUUCUUCAGUCAAACACAAGAUGAUGAAACUAAGGAUGACAGAAUUUAUCAACUUUUCCAUUAUAUAGCUGGUCCAGUGGUAGGCCUGAUGUUGAACCUAAUUUUCUACAACUCAAAGGUUUUCCACGUAUAAAUUGGGAUGGAAAAACCUCCUUCAGAAAAUACCUAGAGGACUAUUUGUACACAUGAGACAAUGGGAAGUUUAAAAAAAAUUUUUUAAAUGAUAAAUGAUGAGAGACAACACCAUCAGACCCUGUUUUGCUUCACCAAACCUGAGGUGCAACAUGACAAAUCUGCUUGUAGCUGAUUUCUAGACAGUGAGGAGGCCGUUAGAAAAAGGGCACCAAUAACUACUAUAGAUUGCUCCACUUCUAUCUCGUCCUUCUGAUCAGAGCCUGAACACAAGUCAGCACAUGGAAAGUAGCUUUUAUCACUUACAAUAAAAGUAGACUGUAUA